AGAUAAGGCGGUGGAGGAGCAGAGCCAGACCACUCCCUCCCUCCCUCCCUGACGGAUCGCCGAUUUCCGUUGACGACUUGUUCCAGGACGGCCAGAUCUGGCCGGUGUAUCUGAUUUUCAACCGAGAUCUCCUUUUCGCAGACGCCUAUGACGGUGAUUCUUCCCACCAAAAAUAGGCUUUUUCUUCUUCAUCUCGAAGGCCGCCACUGAAGAAGCUCUUCAUCAAAGACCGCAACACACCGUCGAUCUUGGCCUCUGAAUUCGAUGAGCACGAAGCUCCCGGAGGAACCUAACGUGAGUGGUCCAAAAAUGCCGAGGAGGGAAAUUAUGAUUUUACAACAAUAGGGAUUUGAAGAAGGAGAAGGUUGCUUCUGGGUCUAGGUCAAUCUUCUUCUUGGGAUCUGGCUGAUCCUGAGUUGCAGAGGCAGAAGAAAAAGCCCGUAAAUAGGAGAGGAAGAACAAAAUGCCCGUAAAUAGGAGUCAGUGGCAAUGUCCGUAAAUUGUGAUGAAACUCAAGCAUUUUGGUCAUUUUGCAUUAAAUUUGGAGUCAGGCUUACAUCAUUUGACUUUUGGGCCUGAGCUCAUGUCCUUAUUUGUAUAAAUCUAUUUGAAGUAUCAAGUUGCUCAGGCAUAUAUGGUCACAAAGAUGCAGCAACAGAACACGAAUAGUACGGAAGGGGUGGAAUUUUAGAGAAUAAAUCCUUUGAAGAAGAUGUAUAUGGAAAGGUCAAUACAGUUCUAAUAUUUAUCAUGUACAAAGGCUCUGAUGGCAAUCACUCCAAAUUUCAGCCUCUAUCUCUUCCUAAUUCCAAAAAGAGUGCAAAUGGAGGAGCAUACUUGGAGGUGCAAUUCUUUUCCCCUCCAUCGUCCACCAUACUAAACAAGCUCAAGACUCCACAACUCCCAAAAGGAAAAUGGAUCCUUUUUUACUAGCUAUCAUUCUUAUGGGUGCCCACAAUAGCAAAGACAUACAUUUAAUCAUUCUUUGGUAAUCAUUCGCAGAAGUCAGCUUGUUGUAUAUCUAUUCAAUAUGACUUUGCAAUGAGGCUUAGUAGCUUACGGGAUAAGGAUGGUUUUAUGUUAUCUAUUUUCAACUCCAUCAGCUUUUUGUUUGAAACUAGUAUCUAGUCCUCACACUUUUGUAUAGAAGAAAGAAAGCAUGUGCUAGGAGUAACAUAUUAGUGUCUUUAUAAAGGCUUUUUGUUUCGAGUAGGAUUUCCAUCAUUUAUACAAAAGGAAAACAACUUUGGCUGAGACAAUGUAGUAGUUUUUA